ACGGGUGAGUAACACGUAUCCAACCUGCCGUCUACUCUUGGACAGCCUUCUGAAAGGAAAGAAUUAAUACAAGAUGGCAUCAUGAGUCCGCAUGUUCACAUGAUUAAAGGUAUUCCGGUAGACGAUGGGGAUGCGUUCCAUUAGAUAGUAGGCGGGGUAACGGCCCACCUAGUCUUCGAUGGAUAGGGGUUCUGAGAGGAAGGUCCCCCACAUUGGAACUGAGACACGGUCCAA
rnacentral:rRNA from 1 species